GACGAACCUUGCUAACGUUAUUCGGAAUUACUGGGCUUAAAGGGUGCGUAGGCGGCUAAUUAAGUCAGCGGUGAAAUUCCACAGCUCAACUGUGGAACUGCCAUUGAUACUGGUUGGCUUGAGUACAGAUGAGGUAGGCGGAAUUGACAGUGUAGCGGUGAAAUGCUUAGAUAUUGUCAAGAACACCUAUUGCGAAGGCAGCUUACUAAGCUGUAACUGACGCUGAGGCACGAAAGCGUGGGGAUCAAACAGG
rnacentral:rRNA from 1 species